GAUAAAAGACUGUGAAGAGACUUCAGCAUCAAUCAAAAUACACGAAACCUAUAUCUGAAUCUGUUGACAAGCUCAAAGAGAUGAUGGAAGAAGUUGAAAGGCAAUCAAUGCUUUUAAAGAGGAACAGACAAAUACUUUUAUGGCAGUGGACCAGCAAGUUAGGUGCCAGUCCCAAAGCAUCAAUUAAGAGAUGGAAAGUAAAGCAGCAGCAAGAAAACCCAAGGAAACUUGAUGGACAAAAA